GACGAACGCUGGCGGCGUGCCUAAUACAUGCAAGUCGAACGCCUCUUUUUCCACCGGAGCUUGCUCCAUCGGAAAAAGAGGAGUGGCGAACGGGUGAGUAACACGUGGGUAACCUGCCCAUCAGAAGGGGAUAACACUUGGAAACAGGUGCUAAUACCGUAUAACAAUCGAAACCGCAUGGUUUCGAUUUGAAAGGCGCUUUCGGGUGUCGCUGAUGGAUGGACCCGCGGUGCAUUAGCUAGUUGGUGAGGUAACGGCUCACCAAGGCGACGAUGCAUAGCCGACCUGGGAGGGGGAUCGGCCACAUUGGGACUGGGAAACGGCCCAAACUCCUACGGGAGGCAGCAGUAGGGAAUCUUCGGCAAUGGACGAAAGUCUGACCGAGCAACGCCGCGUGAGUGAAGAAGGUUUUCGGAUCGUAAAACUCUGUUGUUAGAGAAGAACAAGGAUGAGAGUAACUGUUCAUCCCUUGACGGUAUCUAACCAGAAAGCCACGGCUAACUACGUGCCAGCAGCCGCGGUAA
rnacentral:rRNA from 1 species